GUGAAUCAUCGAAUCUUUGAACGCACCUUGCGCUCCUUGGCAUUCCGAGGAGCAUGCCUGUUCGAGUGUCUUUGAAACAGUCGACCCCAUUUUAUUGGGGCUUCGGAUAUUGGAUGUUGUGCAGCCUUCCAAAAAGGUUGCUCGUCCUAAACUCAUUAGCCGUGACGCGUCACCGGUGGUGGAGUGUAAAUGCAUCUCCGUCUAGCCUGUCGUGCCGCGCGGCUUAAAGAAACCCCCUUUCCAUUUUUUGGCCUCGAAUCAGGCAGGACUACCCGCUGAACUUAAGCAUAUCAAUAAGCGGAGGA
rnacentral:misc_RNA from 1 species